rnacentral:rRNA from 1 species
UACGUAGGGGGCAAGCGUUGUCCGGAUUUAUUGGGCGUAAAGAGCGUGUAGGCGGCCGUACAGGUCAGCUGUGAAAACUCGAGGCUCAACCUCGAGACGUCGGUUGAAACCGUACGGCUAGAGUCCGGAAGAGGAGAGUGGAAUUCCCGGUGUAGCGGUGAAAUGCGCAGAUAUCGGGAAGAACACCCGUGGCGAAGGCGGGUCUCUGGGCCGAUAUUGACGCUGAGGAGCGAAAGCGUGGGGAGCGAACAGG